CAGCGCGUAGCUAAGAAGUCCAAGUCUCUCACUUACAUUGAGAACAUACCCGUGCAAGUCGGGUCGCACUGA
rnacentral:tRNA from 1 species